AUUGAACGCUGGCGGCAUGCUUUACACAUGCAGGUCGAACGGUAACAGGGAGCUUGCUCCGCUGACGAGUGGCGAACGGGUGAGUAAUGCGUCGGAACGUGCCGAGUAGUGGGGGAUAACGCAGCGAAAGUUGUGCUAAUACCGCAUACGUACUGAGGUAGAAAGUGGGGGACCUUCGGGCCUCACGCUAUUCGAGCGGCCGACGUCUGAUUAGCUAGUAGGUGAGGUAAAGGCUCACCUAGGCAACGAUCAGUAGCGGGUCUGAGAGGAUGAUCCGCCACACUGGGACUGAGACACGGCCCAGACUCCUACGGGAGGCAGCAGUGGGGAAUUUUGGACGAUGGGCGAAAGCCUGAUCCAGCCAUGCCGCGUGUCUGAAGAAGGCCUUCGGGUUGUAAAGGACUUUUGUCGGGGAGGAAAUCCCCAGCGUUAAUACCGCUGGGGGAUGACAGGACCUGAAGAAUAAGCACCGGCUAACUACGUGCCAGCCGCCGCGGUAA
rnacentral:rRNA from 1 species